UUUCUCUUUUGUAACCGGGAAUAAUUAAGAUAGAUGUGCGGAUGGAUUAGCUGUCCUGCAAGGUCAGGAGCGCAUUGCCGGAUCACUCUAUUAUUUCGCUGCGCCACAGCUACCCGACUAACGCCUUUUUCAUGAUAUUUUGAACAUCCGCACAGAAAAAAACCAAGUGAGUGCACGAGAGAUACAAAUGGAUCGUUUGGUGGAGAAAUCCGUCUUCGUCACCGCCGCCAGCCUGGGAUUAAUGCGAUUGAAGGCUCCUCCAGGCUCCGCCAGGGAGACAGGCUCAGGAAAGCAAGAGAAAUUGGCAGAGGGGACAGACCAUUUGAAGUUAGGAGGCUGAUGGAGAACUCUUUACCUACCUGAUGGAGGAGACUGAAUCUACCGUCAGAGAGGUGUCUUGACUUUUCCAAGGUUACACAACCAGCAGAUGGCAGAGCUGGGGCUAGAACAAAAGCCUUUUCCUUGAACUUCAAGUGACUGCAGGAUCCUACUUGUCUGGUGAAGACUAAGUCUUCCGUCUCUGAAAAUGGUUGAUAUGUGAGUUCACUUGGGAGGCUAUAGUAAUAGAAAGAGGGAGCAGGGCUCACCCAUGUACCAAGACUUUCACAUUCAUGAAGUAAAGAUGAGCUCAGUGGGAUGGUCAGAGAAAACUUGGAAUUUUUUGCUUUUUUUU